rnacentral:rRNA from 1 species
AACGAACACUGGCGGCGUGCCUAACACAUGCAAGUCGAACGGGAAAACCCGCAAGGGUGAGUACAGUGGCGCACGGGUGCGUAACACGUGGGUAAUCUGCCCAGAAGCCCGGAAUAACUCCCCGAAAGGGGUGCUAAUGCCGGAUGAGACCACGGGGACUCCGGUUCCUGGGGGAAAAGGUGGCCUCUGUAUACAAGCUAUCACUUCUGGAUGAGCCCGCGGCCCAUCAGCUAGUUGGCGGGGUAAUGGCCCACCAAGGCUACGACGGGUAGCUGGUCUGAGAGGACGAUCAGCCACACUGGAACUGAGACACGGUCCAGGCUCCUACGGGAGGCAGCAGUGGGGAAUCUUGCGCAAUGGGCGAAAGCCUGACGCAGCAACGCCGCGUGUGUGAUGAAGGUCUUCGGAUCGUAAAGCACUGUCGGGAGGGACGAAUAAGGGCCGGGUGAACAAUCCGGUUCGACGACGGUACCUCCAGAGGAAGCACCGGCUAACUCUGUGCCAGCCGCCGCAGUAAUAC